rnacentral:lncRNA from 1 species
AGAUGGCUUAGACAAUCUCGAACCCUUGUUUUUGUACUUUGUAACGCCGGUAGGGGAAGAAAAGGAAGUUUUCAAAGAGAGAUCAAACAUGGUGAAUUGGAGCGCAUGAUAAUCAAAGAAGAACUUGCAAGAAGUUCUACUAAAUAAAAAGGGGAGAAAAUAUAUAUAAAGAACGACAAAGCUGAUCUAAAAGAUGCUUCGGGAAGAAACAACAUCUGUGACCAUCAUGCAUCGGAGGAACAAUUUGUAAAAUGUGGAAACAUUUCAACCACAUAGGGAAGAAGGAGAACGG